CCAACCAUAUGAACAUCAUGGGAAGUCCUUUGUGGAGCCUCUUUUGUUAGCAAAACAAGGUCAUUUUCUGAAAAGCUUUUGGAUGAUGUAGAAUCAUUGUCAUCAUGGACGAAGCGAACAAGGUGGAAGUCAUCAACCCUCUCAACUGACAGCACAGACAGACUGCCAUAAUACAUCUCAUCCCAUGAAGACAUCUCCAGAAAGGAACUGUGCAACUGUGCUUUAAACUCCUCCAAAACUAAUGGCCGAAAAAUUUCAACAUACUGUUCUGGUGAUUGAAAGCACACCGGAACCUCCUUUAAUUUGCUAACAUUCUGAUUCUCAUCUUUAUCUGCAGACAUUAAACCUACUGUUUCAAAGUAAUUUAUCUCCAAAAUGGGCCUAAACCAGGCAUCAAGCCUUGGAGGCUUGAACCUUUUAACUCCAGCAUCCAAUCUGUGUAAACUUCCAAUUCUAUUUUCAACAGGCGUUUUGAGUUGGAUAACUUGCCUUUUUGGACCAGAAGCACUUAGCUUUGCCAGAAAGGAGGACGGUUGUCUCACAGAUUUGAAUGCAGACUCAGAAAGAUCUUUAUUAGCAUCAUGUACAAUCUCUUUUAAUAUUGAAUCUCUUGUUUCAGAAACCUUGCCAUGGCUAAAUUGAUUCACAGUUUUAGAAUUCACAGACACAUCACAGGAGUUCUUCAAAUUAAUUUUACAUUGAGAUGCGAAGACAUCUUUUACACGGACUAUUGACUUGACUUCUUUGCUCUUAUCAUCAGCAGGUGAUUGGCCUCUUAAUUUAUCAAAAUCCUGCUUCUGUAUAAUGAGACCAGAUCUGUCUAAAGAAUCUGUUUGUUCAAAGGCAUCUGAUAAAUCUCUCAAAGUAUCAAUGACAGAAGCCUUCUUUGAGGUGUCAGCUAGUGAAGCACUUCUGUCAGCUGUAGGAUGGCUAUCUAAUCGACCAGGACCUGAAUCCUUAUCAGGUAGAAUGACCUUAGCAGGUGAAAUAUGUCUUUCUGAUUCAUCAUCUGAAAGCAAAAUCACAUUACUUUUGUCCGUUCUAUUAUCUGUCGAUGAGCCCAGGGCUUGAAGAAUGGUAUCCUUUGCAGGGGAAGCAUGCAUUUCAGAAGCAGUAUGCCUUUUCGUAAAAGACAAAUCUUCAGAAAAUAAAGCUCUUGGUCUUAAUGUUUCAAUCCCACCAUCACAAGAAACUUUCUUAGCUAAUGAAACACGAAGGUGAGAAACUUGUUCCGACAAUUGAUCAACACUAACAUUCUCUAAAUCAAGAAAUAAUACACAUGUUACGAAAUUGUAGCCAAUUAACAAAAUAACAGAUGACCAACAAGAACGUUCUAAUCAUAAAGGUUUCAAGAAUAAACAAAAAUACUCACCACAUGUAAUAAGAUUCUCUAUAGCCUUAACAGUUGAUGCAGAAAUAUCAUUGCAAGACACUUUGAGCACAUUCAAUAUUGAAGUUACGGUUCGUUUCCAAUAGACAAAAACAACUUUAAGCGAUGAUUUUCCCCAAUCAAUCAGAUCAUGUAGCCAUAUGAAGUCCAAAUAAAUGCAUAAUAAGGCACCAGAUACCUUUCCAACCAUAUGAACAUCAUGGGAAGUCCUUUGUGGAGCCUCUUUUGUUAGCAAAACAAGGUCAUUUUCUGAAAAGCUUUUGGAUGAUGUAGAAUCAUUGUCAUCAUGGACGAAGCGAACAAGGUGGAAGUCAUCAACCCUCUCAACUGACAGCACAGACAGACUGCCAUAAUACAUCUCAUCCCAUGAAGACAUCUCCAGAAAGGAACUGUGCAACUGUGCUUUAAACUCCUCC
rnacentral:lncRNA from 1 species